rnacentral:rRNA from 1 species
UCCGUAGGUGACAAGCGUUGUCCGGAUUUACUGGGCGUAAAGAGCGCGCAGGCGGUCGUUCAAGUCGCGUGUGAAAGCCCCCGGCUCAACUGGGGAGGGUCACGCGAUACUGAUCGACUGGAAGGCAGGAGAGGGUAGUGGAAUUCCCGGUGUAGUGGUGAAAUGCGUAGAUAUCGGGAGGAACACCAGUGGCGAAGGCGACUACCUGGCCUGUUCUUGACGCUGAGGCGCGAAAGCUAGGGGAGCAAACGGG